AUGAAAAAGUGGCAAUUUAAACUGCGGAAACCUUCCCCGGCUAUUCAUCUAGCGCGACGAUGGCAUGUCGUUCAAUCCGCCGAGCCGCAACGGCGCAUGCAUGAUCGUGAUGCUGCAAUUAUGUCAGCGGCGCAUCGGUUGCAUGCACAUGAGCCGUUGUGCGACGCUGUGCCGCGCUGUAGUGGAUCCCUAAACAAGACGAUGUGCACACAAGAUGUCAAGCAGACUGUCCAGAAUUGUGAUUGGAUCAGUACAUUGCCAGAUGACAUUUUAAUCAGCAUUCUUUCGCUACUGACUAAUCAUUAUGGCAACAGAAUCAAGGAAUUGACUGUCAGAUUCCCGUUAACUUCAGCCAAUGCUUCUGAGCUGAACCAUUGGAUUUGGUUUGCAGCUUUAGCCUCUACAGAAAAGCUCUCCCUCGACCUUUAUGACAAGAAUCGCUUGAGUUUCCUUGACCUUGAUGAGCCGUAUAACUUCAUAUUAUCACCAUUUGCCAAUGGGAGAGACUGCCGGUUGGGCGAGUUAACUCUGUCCAAAUGCAGUUUACGAACAAUGCCUGAAAAUCUUAGUGCCUUUUCAUGCCUUCAUUUCCUUUCGCUUGGCCAUGUUUCAAUAACUGAUACAGAUGUUUCAAAUCGAGACCAGCUUUUCUACUCUCGGAUUUGUGCUCUUGGCACCUCAACUCGCUGGCAGCAAGGGGGAGAAAAGAAGAAGCAUGUCUCUCGAUGGAUCAGCACUGGCCCCGCAACGAUCGAGGCGUUUCAUCGCAUAGAGGGAGUAGAGCAGAGAAGGUUACCUCCGGUGGCCGGUGGCGUUGCUGCCGCCGGCGACGACGGGGAGUCCAUGUCCGUACAGGCUGCUUCAACCUUUUUUUGCCAGAGAGAGAGAGAGAGAGAGAGAGAGAGAGAGGCAGGGGAGAAACGGGUUCCACUGGCCGUGUCCCAAGGAGCACAACUCAUGCAGUCCUCCUCCUCCUCCUCCUUCUUCAGCUAUGCCUUGCAUGCAUUGACACCACUCUGGGUGACGUACCAUCUUUCCCGAGCAUAA
rnacentral:rRNA from 1 species